rnacentral:rRNA from 1 species
UGGGGAAUUUUGGACAAUGGGCGAAAGCCUGAUCCAGCAAUGCCGCGUGUGUGAAGAAGGCCUUCGGGUUGUAAAGCACUUUUGUCCGGAAAGAAAUGGCUUUGGUUAAUACCUGGGGUCGAUGACGGUACCGGAAGAAUAAGGACCGGCUAACUACGUGCCAGCAGCCGCGGUAAUACGUAGGGUCCAAGCGUUAAUCGGAAUUACUGGGCGUAAAGCGUGCGCAGGCGGUUGUGCAAGACCGAUGUGAAAUCCCCGAGCUUAACUUGGGAAUUGCAUUGGUGACUGCACGGCUAGAGUGUGUCAGAGGGGGGUAGAAUUCCACGUGUAGCAGUGAAAUGCGUAGAGAUGUGGAGGAAUACCGAUGGCGAAGGCAG